CCGGGACUCUAGUCAGACUGCCGGUGCCAACGGAGGAAGGUGGGGAUGACGUCAAGUCAUCAUGGCCCUUAUGUCCAGGGCUGCACACGUCCUACAAUGGUCAACACAAAGCGAAGCAAUACCGCGAGGUGGAGCAAAACGCAAAAAGUUGGCCCCAGUUCAGAUCGCAGGCUGAAACUCGCCUGCGUGAAGUUGGAAUCGCUAGUAAUCGCGUAUCAGCUAUGACGCGGUCGAAUACUGUUCCGAGCCUU
rnacentral:rRNA from 1 species